UGGAUCCUGGCUCAGGACGAACGCUGGCGGCGUGCCUAAUACAUGCAAGUAGAACGCUGAAGAGAGGAGCUUGCUCUUCUUGGAUGAGUUGCGAACGGGUGAGUAACGCGUAGGUAACCUGCCUUGUAGCGGGGGAUAACUAUUGGAAACGAUAGCUAAUACCGCAUAACAAUGAAUGACACAUGUCAUUUAUUUGAAAGGGGCAAUUGCUCCACUACAAGAUAGACCUGCGUUGUAUUAGCUAGUAGGUGAGGUAACGGCUCACCUAGGCGACGAUACAUAGCCGACCUGAGAGGGUGAUCGGCCACACUGGGACUGAGACACGGCCCAGACUCCUACGGGAGGCAGCAGUAGGGAAUCUUCGGCAAUGGGGGCAACCCUGACCGAGCAACGCCGCGUGAGUGAAGAAGGUUUUCGGAUCGUAAAGCUCUGUUGUAAGUCAAGAACGAGUGUGAGAGUGGAAAGUUCACACUGUGACGGUAGCUUACCAGAAAGGGACGGCUAACUACGUGCCAGCAGCCGCGGUAAUACGUAGGUCCCGAGCGUUGUCCGGAUUUAUUGGGCGUAAAGCGAGCGCAGGCGGUUUGAUAAGUCUGAAGUUAAAGGCUGUGGCUCAACCAUAGUUCGCCUUGGAAACUGUCAAACUUGAGUGCAGAAGGGGAGAGUGGAAUUCCAUGUGUAGCGGUGAAAUGCGUAGAUAUAUGGAGGAACACCGGUGGCGAAAGCGGCUCUCUGGUCUGUAACUGACGCUGAGGCUCGAAAGCGUGGGGAGCGAACAGGAUUAGAUACCCUGGUAGUCCACGCCGUAAACGAUGAGUGCUAGGUGUUGGAUCCUUUCCGGGAUUCAGUGCCGCAGCUAACGCAUUAAGCACUCCGCCUGGGGAGUACGACUGCAAGG
rnacentral:rRNA from 1 species